rnacentral:rRNA from 1 species
GGGACACGUGGUAUCCUGUCUGAAUAUGGGGGGACCAUCCUCCAAGGCUAAAUACUCCUGACUGACCGAUAGUGAACCAGUACCGUGAGGGAAAGGCGAAAAGAACCCCGGCGAGGGGAGUGAAAAAGAACCUGAAACCGUGUACGUACAAGCAGUGGGAGCACGCUUAGGCGUGUGACUGCGUACCUUUUGUAUAAUGGGUCAGCGACUUAUAUUCUGUAGCAAGGUUAACCGAAUAGGGGAGCCGAAGGGAAACCGAGUCUUAACUGGGCGUUAAGUUGCAGGGUAUAGACCCGAAACCCGGUGAUCUAGCCAUGGGCAGGUUGAAGGUUGGGUAACACUAACUGGAGGACCGAACCGACUAAUGUUGAAAAAUUAGCGGAUGACUUGUGGCUGGGGGUGAAAGGCCAAUCAAACCGGGAGAUAGCUGGUUCUCCCCGAAAGCUAUUUAGGUAGCGCCUCGUGAAUUCAUCUCCGGGGGUAGAGCACUGUUUCGGCAAGGGGGUCAUCCCGACUUACCAACCCGAUGCAAACUGCGAAUACCGGAGAAU